rnacentral:rRNA from 1 species
GGAUUGACACAUCGGUCGUGCCUUAAGGGGUAUGAACUGGUGUAGUCAAUUUCUCACCUUCUGGAGAACCGCGAUGCCCUUAAUUGGGUGUCACGGGGAACCAGGACCUUUACUUUGAAAAAAUUAGAGUGUUUAAAGCAGGCAUUUUGCUUGAAUACAUUAGCAUGGAAUAAUAAAAUAGGAAGGCAGGAGGAGAGGUGGUUGGGGGAUAGGAGAAACGGA